UUCCCCUAGCGAUCUCACGCACGACGGCGCCGACUCCUGAUCCGUUUUCUCCUGUUGCAGCCGCCUCUCCCAAUCCCUUCUGCUGCUGCUUCCGUUGAUCCCCAUUGCAGCCACAGCAGCCAACCCCCACCACCAUGAUGCGAUUUAGAGAGAGGAGGGGAGACCGAGCACCUCCGCAUUGGUGGCGAGGCUCGGCGGGAUGGAGGAGUCGUCAGUCCGGGGCUCCUCCUUGACGAUGAAGAUCGUUGCUGCCGGAGUUGGCAAUGGGAGCGGCGUAACCGGCGGUUCUGGUGCAGACGCCGUUCUUGGAGGAGUCCGGCAGCGACGAGUCCACCGGCGACGAGGCCGCCGAGGUCCUGUGGUCCUGCGGCGACGAAUCCACCGAGGUCCUUUGGUCCAGCGGCGACGGCCAAGGUAAGUUCGCCGGCGGCGAAGUGCUCCGUGGCAUAGGAACUCGAAGAGAUUAGUGAAGAUCGGGGGCAGAUCGUAGAUUGCCAUCUUUUUCUCACCUUUCUUCUUCUCUGUUCUUGUUCUUGCUCUUUGAUUCUUCUCGCUCUAUUCUUGCUCUGUAACGGCAGAGUCUAGCGUGCAUGAUAACGUGUUGUGAAAUGAAUCUGUGUGCGCGAAUGAACGGUUACAAGGUUAACUGCCUAAUUAACUAAUAAUUAAUCCUAAUUGAUCAUAACUAAUUAUUCUCAACAAAAGCAGCUGUGUAUUCUGUAUGUAUACUGACUGUUGUUCCUUUUCUCAUCACUGCCACAAAUUCUGAAUAAUCUAUCCUCAAGUCCUACAUGUGCCAGUCAAGAAAUAAUUUAGUUUCUUCCAAAUACAUGUGCUAUCAAUUCUGUAUCUCUUUUUUCCUAAUAAAAUGAAUCUGUGAUGUGCAACAUUGCAUCUGACUUAUAUAUGCAGUGAGGCUACAUAGCCCUUUUUCCUGUUGCGUUGUCGAUCACAGUUGGCUCCAGAGAUGACCUCAUUGAAUUCAUUAGCAUUGUUGCUUAUUUGUUGUUGGCCAACUCACGCCCUGUUGUCGAAAUAGAUGUAUCGAGGUCAUAUUGUCUUUCGGGUCAACAACACAGUCAGAAACUGUUGCUUGGCAUUACUCACCUCUAGUGCCUUCCUGUUUUCAUCUAUAAUUUUCCUUUCCAG
rnacentral:lncRNA from 1 species